rnacentral:rRNA from 1 species
UACGUAGGGUGCAAGCGUUGUCCGGAAUUAUUGGGCGUAAAGAGCUCGUAGGCGGUUCGUCGCGUCGGCUGUGAAAACCUGAGGCUCAACCUCAGGCCUGCAGUCGAUACGGGCGGACUUGAGUACUGCAGGGGAGACUGGAAUUCCUGGUGUAGCGGUGAAAUGCGCAGAUAUCAGGAGGAACACCGGUGGCGAAGGCGGGUCUCUGGGCAGUAACUGACGCUGAGGAGCGAAAGCGUGGGGAGCAAACAGG